AUACGUAGGGAGCGAGCGUUGUCCGGAAUUACUGGGUGUAAAGGGAGCGUAGGCGGGAGUGCAAGUCAGAUGUGAAAUACAUGGGCUCAACCCAUGGGCUGCAUUUGAAACUGCAUUUCUUGAGUGAAGUAGAGGUAAGCGGAAUGCCUGGUGUAGCGGUGACAUGCGUAGAUAUCAGGAGGAACACCGGUGGCGAAGGCGGCUUACUGGGCUUUUACUGACGCUGAGGCUCGAAAGCGUGGGGAGCAAACAGGAUUAGAUACCCUGGUAGUCCACGCUGUAAACGAUGAUUACUAGGUGUGGGGGGACUGACCCCUUCCGUGCCGCAGUUAACACAAUAAGUAAUCCACCUGGGGAGUACGGCCGCAAGGUUGAAACUCAAAUGAAUUGACGGGG
rnacentral:rRNA from 1 species